AUUGAACGCUGGCGGCGUGCUUAACACAUGCAAGUCGAUCGGUAACGCGGGGGCAACCCUGGCGACGAGAGGCGGACGGGUGAGGAACGCUUGGGAAUCUGCCUAUCAGCGGGGGACAACACGGGGAAACUCGUGCUAAUACCGCAUACGCUCUACGGAUGAAAGCCGGGGACCGCAAGGCCUGGCACUGAUAGAUGAGCCCAAGCCGGAUUAGCUAGGUGGCGGGGUAACGGCCCACCAAGGCGACGAUCCGUAGCUGGUCUGAGAGGACGAUCAGCCACACUGGGACUGAGACACGGCCCAGACUCCUACGGGAGGCAGCAGUGGGGAAUAUUGGACAAUGGGGGAAACCCUGAUCCAGCGACGCCGCGUGGGUGAAGAAGGCCUGCGGGUUGUAAAGCCCUUUCGGUAGGGACGAAAGCUCUCGACCUAACACGUCGGGAGGUUGACUUAACCUACAAAAGAAGCACCGGCUAACUCUGUGCCAGCCGCCGCCGUAAGAC
rnacentral:rRNA from 1 species